CUUGUCCUCUAUAUUUUACUUACAAAUGGAAAAAAUAUAAUGGAAGGAAGGUCUCUUUCUGCUCAUUGUAGGGUUUCCAUUUAAGAUGAAUAAAUAAAUAAUGUUUGUCCCUUAUGUGGUUUUCAUGUAGGUUCAAACAGAGUUCAAAUAAAAUAAAUGGCCAAAGUCAUAUGCGGCCACUCAAACUUGUCCCGAUUAUUCACUUAGACACCUUAACUAAACGUACUACCUAUUGAACAUCUUAACCACCCCGAUUUGAACCGUUAAGCCAUUUUUUGCCUACAUGGCAAAUCGUUUGUGAUUCACGCAAAUGGAGCGCGUGAAUUUAUUUUUUUCUCAUUUUUUACACUGCCUACAUGGCAGCAACGGUAACAUUGCACUUCAAUGUUAAAGUUGAAGUGAAAUCCCCAAUUCUCUUCCCCAAAAUCAUCUUCCCCAAUUAGUUGAAGUGAAAUUCCCAAUUCUCUUCCCCAAAAUCAUCUUUCCCAAUUUCUCUUCCCCAAAAUCCAUUUAGAACCCUAAAUCUCCAAUUCUCUCUUCUACUACUAAAUCUCCAAGUUUCUCUCUUCUUCUCUAAAUAUCCAAGUUUCUCUCUUCUUCUAUAAAUCAAUUCUCUUUUAUCAAAUGUCGCAAAUUUCAGUAAAUAUCGAUGAAGUUGAUAUAUGCAAGUGUGGUUAUUAUUGUCGACUGAAAACUUCGAGGACUCCUUUGAACCCAGGAAAAUGGUGGAUGUGGAUAUUUUAGAUGGAUCGAUCCGCCGCUUGAAAAUGUUGAUGAAUCAUCCUCAAUGAAUAGACUCAUAGACGGUCAAAAUCCGAUUGAUCGACUAAAGAGAAAAGUGAAAGAACUUGAAGAAGAAAAAGAUUCUUUGAAAUUUCAAUUGAAUGAAAGUGAAGUGAAAUUGAUGGUAUUGAACAAGAAGCUUAAGGAAGUUAAACUCCAAAGGGAUUGGGAAAAUGUCAAAUUUAAUCGAAUUGUGAUUGUUUUUCUUUGUCUACUAACUAUUAAAUGGUUCUUUAAUAUUCUGUAGUUGAUAGUAGUUCAGGAUUGUAAUACUUAAUUGUUUAGUUUUGCAGUAGUUAGGUAGUUAUUCUAGAUCAAUUAGUGAUGUUUUAAUUGGUAUAUGUCCUUAAUAUUUUGUAUCAAAUUGGAAGUUUGAGU